CUAUCUCUUACGAGAAAGAUUGGACUUUAUCUUAGACUGUAUUAAUUAUACAACCCAUAACCUUAAAGUCUCUGAACUUGUUUUUUUUAAAAAUUAGCUGCGUAUUUUCCAUAUUAAAGCAUCAUCACCUAAUUCGGUAGCUUAAAUAUUUUGGAUGUUCACGCAAUUUGAUUAUGUUACCUUAUUAAUCAAAGAAUAAGAUUAGCUUAUAAAGCUUUUAGGGGCCACAGGCUUUACCCCAUAU
rnacentral:ncRNA from 1 species